rnacentral:rRNA from 1 species
GAUGAACGCUAGCGGCAGGCUUAAUACAUGCAAGUCGAGGGGCAGCAGGGUGUAGCAAUACAUCGCUGGCGACCGGCAAACGGGUGCGGAACACGUACGCAACUUACCCAAAACUGGGGGAUAGCCCGGGGAAACCCGGAUUAAUACCUCGUAACAUUAUGGAGUGGCAUCACUCUAUAAUUAUAGCUCCGGCGGUUUUGGAUGGGCGUGCGCCUGAUUAGGUAGUUGGUUGAGGUAACGGCUCACCAAGCCUGCGAUCAGUAACUGGUGUGAGAGCACGACCAGUCACACGGGCACUGAGAAACGGGCCCGACUCCUACGGGAGGCAGCAGUAAGGAAUAUUGGUCAAUGGACGCAAGUCUGAACCAGCCAUGCCGCGUGAAGGAUGAAGGUCCUCUGGAUUGUAAACUUCUUUUAUAUGGGACGAAACCCGGGAAUUCCUUCCCGAUUGACGGUACCAUAAGAAUAAGCACCGGCUAACUCCGUGCCAGCCGCCGCAGUAACAC